CCCACACCGACGAGAGCCACCGUACCAAAACCAAAAAUUGAAUACAAAAUAAUAUAAGAAUAGAAUAAGUAGAUAUAA